GGAGAGCCCAGAUUCUGGAGUCUCCAGUGGAAGUUCAGCGUUGUCUUUGCCUCCUGUGUGCAGAUCAUCACAGGAAGAGAAAGCUUAGCCAGAGGUGCAGCUGGAGAGUAGAACCUGGUUUCAGAAAUGAUGGUGCUCUCAAGACUGGAGCCCAGUGACCUGACCUCACCAAGGGUGCUCUUCAGCCAGAACCUUGAUGGAAGAGGAAAAGCUGGUUAGACAACGCAGACUGACUUGAGCCUAUUGCUCAGGCCUGGAGGCUGCUCAACUUCAAGGACAGAAUUAUCCCACCAAGAGACUUCUAUAAGGGUGGCUGCAGCUCUCCACCAGCCUUGGAUCUGCUCAGUUGUUCUGUGAUGGCGGCUCAGAACUGAUACCACAUUCUGCAUGGUUGUGUCUUCCUAAGAGCCCAUGGCAUCAGGACUUCACAGUAUGCUUAGGACCAGAAACUGAUACUCCACUAUGUCAAUUGAAAUGGGCCUGGAGUCAAAUCCCUGGGAUUUGAGGUACCAUCAAAU
rnacentral:lncRNA from 1 species